GGCCCCAUCGUCCAGCGGUUAGGACACCAGGUUCUCAUCCUGGGAACUGCAGUUCGAUUCUGCAUGGGGUCA
rnacentral:tRNA from 1 species